GUAGAUUAUAACUCUCUUACCUCUUUUCAUGGCUAUUAUAGAAGUGCAUUUGGACAAUGGCUAGCACCUAACUCUGCAAUUACAAUUCAAAUGAUUACCUGCAGUUUUUAUUUUGAGUUGAGAUAUUAUGUGACUAUAUUGCCAUGUGGACACACAAUUCACAAGAAAUGCUUGAAGGAGAUGAGAGAACACUACUAAUAUGCUUGCCCUCUCUGCUCCAAGUCAGUUUGAGAUAUGUCUAAGGUUCUCCUAGGAGGUCCAAAGAAUGCUCAUGAAAUCCAAAGAAUGCUCAUGAAACUAUGAAAAACUUUGGCCCAGCUUUUGGUGUGCCACACAGCUGUACUAGACCACAUGUGCGGUCAAAGGGAAGGAAGUUUGAGAGAGCUAGAGGGACGAGAAAUAGCAAGGGAUUGAGGGUUUGAGUUGUUUUUAGUUCCAAAAUGCCAGGCAAUUAUUUUAUCUUUUAUUAUUAUGUCCCAAAUUUUGUUAGACUCUAGGUUCCAAUGGAACUUGUUUAUGUUAUUAUUAAUUCCUAGCUUGAAUUGUUUAUGUUAUCUAUAUAUAAUAUUGAUUGAUAUUUAAUAUUUGAUACCCUUAUAUCAUAAAUAUUGUGAUAUUGAGCAC